CACGUAGGAGGCGAGCGUUUGUCCGGAAUCAUUGGGCGUAAAGAGCGCGCAGGCGGCUUGGCAAGUCGGGUGUGAAAUCCCGGGGCUCAACCCCGUGACUGCAUCCGAUACUGUCAGGCUAGAGGUAGGUAGGGGAGAUCGGAAUUCCUGGUGUAGCGGUGAAAUGCGCAGAUAUCAGGAGGAACACCGGUGGCGAAGGCGGAUCUCUGGGCCUUACCUGACGCUCAGGCGCGAAAGCUAGGGGGAGCAAACGGG
rnacentral:rRNA from 1 species